rnacentral:lncRNA from 1 species
GGAGACCGGCGACGCUCUCCGCCACGACCCAAAGUCUCACACGCCCUGAGCAGAGGAACCGGUCCCUCCGUCCGGCCUGCCCUCCCACACCGGCGCCUUUGGGCUCAGCGGGCCAGUGGCCAGAUGGCGAGAGUUCUGGAUCUCAUCAGCUUUGUCCUCAUCCCCCCUCUCGGAGUUCAGCCUCCUAAGGCUGUGAAACAGCCCAAAGGCCCGGACACGCUACUCCAAAACGUCUCUCCUGGGUUGUGUGAACAAUAAGAGCUAUUUGGGGACGACAGGAAAAGAUAUGGCCCAUAGAAGAGCUCCUGAAAUCUAACCUUGCGACUCUUUAAAA